CCCAACUCCGACCGAAACUCCAACUAUAAUUUUUAUCUGUUCACUAUUUAGACUGCUUUCUGAGGAGGAAGAAGAAGAAGAAGCUAGCGGUGGAGGUGGUGAUCGUGACGAUCUGUGUGGGGGUGGAGGUUGAUUAGAAUGGGAUGGAGGAGGUGGUGAAGUAUUGCUAAAAGGUGAUGGCGGAGCCGAACUAUUAGAUUGAUGUGGUGGCGGUGGCGGCGAAGACGAACUAUUUGAUGGAGGAGGUGAUGCAUUUGAUGGUGGAGGGGAAGCUGUGUUGGGGGAAGGUGCAUCUGGUGAAGAAGAAGAGGGGGGUGGAGGUGAUGAAUCUGAUGGUGGUGGCGCAGCAGCUGGUGGUGAAGGUGGAG
rnacentral:lncRNA from 1 species